ACAUAUGUAUAUAUAUACACAUACAUUGAUACGUAGGUGCGGAUUUAUCUGCAUCCACAACCGAGCGCCGAUUCCACACGUGGCUGUAUCUGCACACAUGGGUCAAUCCGCUUGACAUACAAGCACAUCGUAUAGACAAUCGUAAACGAAACUUUUCAACGACGAUGCGGCAUCCGCAUGCAGGUAAUUAACGAGCGCAAACGUCUUGAGAACCUACAAUGCGAAACCUUCGACGUGGGCGAAUUCCGUUUUUGGUACAUCUUAUGUUCAGCUUUCACUGCCUUCCAAAUUGAAUCGUGUACUUUUUGCAAUGUUAGUAGGAAAUGUUGAUAACCUGGAGACUUAGCUUAAGAACGAGGAAGUGUAGGUGUUUUUUUUUUUUUUUUUGUUUUUCUUUUUGCGAAAUAAAUUGAAUUUCGCGUAUACGGAAUCAACGUCUUCCUACACGCGUCUACUUUGUAAUUAACGUUUAAGCUUUUGGUUGAAGACAUUGCGAAUAUUAAUCACAGCUCUGAAUACUGAGUGUCGAGGAAGAACCUCAUCAACAUCCAAUUAGUCACACAUCAGGCCAAACGAGUCAUCUCCGUGCAGAGUUA